CACACAGGUUUGGUCCCAGCCCUUGAAAUCAAUUCUUACUUAACUUACACAUGCAAGUCUCCGCACACCCGUGAAAACGCCCUUCCUACCCCUACAGGAAUAAGGAGCUGAUAUCAGGCACACCACCCAAAACAUCUAGCCACGCCACACCCUCAAGGGCCAUCAGCAGUGAUUAACAUUAAAAAUAAACGUCAGUUUGACUUAGUUAAAUGAAAACAGAGCCGGCCAAUCUGGUGCCAGCCGCCGCGGUUACACCAUGUGGCUCAAAUUGAUCCCAAUACGGCGUAAAGCGUGAUUAAAGAAAUAUACCCCUGGGGUUAAACUAAAACUAAGCUGUAGUACGCCUGUUUUUAAGAAACCCUAUUUCGAAAGAUACCCCAACCCACCAACUUGAACUCACAACAACUGGGGCACAAACUGGGAUUAGAUACCCCACUAUGCCUAGUCAUAAACUUUAACUUACACCUCAAUCGCCAGGAAACUACGAGCAAAGCUUAAAACCCAAAGGACUUGACGGUGCCCCAUAUCCCCCUAGAGGAGCCUGUCCUAUAACCGAUACCCCCCGUUUAACCUCACCAUUUUUAGUCUAUCAGCCUGUAUACUUCCGUCGCCAGCUUACCGCGUGAGCGAAUUCAGUAAGCUCAAUGUAAACCACCAGAACGUCAGGUCAAAGUGCAGCAUAUAAAAUGGCAAGAGAUGGGCUACACUUUCUACUUUAGAAGAUACGAAAGACUAUGUGAAACCAUACUCAGAAGGCGGAUUUAGCAGUAAGGGGGGAUAGAAUACCCCCCCUUAACCCGGCACUGGGGUGUGUACACACCGCCCGUCACCCUCUUCAACUAACCCCCCCCAGUAUUUAACAAAAUUCACCACAUAGAAGAGGUAAGUCGUAACAUGGUAAGUAUACCGGAAGGUGUGCUUGGAAA
rnacentral:ncRNA from 1 species